rnacentral:rRNA from 1 species
UCCUGGCUCAGAGCGAACGCUAGCGGCGGGCUUAACACAUGCAAGUCGAGCGGAGGGUUUCGGCCUCAGCGGCGAACGGGUGAGUAACACGUGGGUAACGUUACCCUUUGGGUGGGGAAUAACCUAGGGAAACCUGGGCUAAUACUGCAUAUGUCCUUCGGGAUGAAAGUCUUCGGACGCCAGGGGAUCGGCCUGCGGCCCAUUAUUUAAUCCUAGUUGGUAGGGUAACGGCCUACCAAGGGUACGAUGGGUAGCUGGUCUGAGAGGAUGAUCAGCCACACUGGAACUGAGACACGGUCCAGACUCCUACGGGAGGCAGCAGUGGGGAAUAUUGGACAAUGGGCGCAAGCCUGAUCCAGCCACGCCGCGUGGGUGAUGAAGGCCUUCGGGUUGUAAAGCCCUGUCGGAGGGGACGAAGUCUUCGGAUUGACGGUACCUUCCAAGAAAGC